rnacentral:lncRNA from 1 species
UACCGGGCUCGAGACCUGAUUCGUACCAGUCGCCUUCUUUGGUCUCGAUGAUGGGCCACAGGAUCCCCCAUGAAAGGAAUGUACCAAGCAACAAGGAGAUAUUUAUAAGGUAUGGACAGAUCAUCCCUACCCCAAUAUACAUAGUUGAGAAAUCAAAGAAAAACCUAAAGAAAAAAAAAUCAACCAAAAAGAAACAGUUACAAACAUUAUUUCUAAAAGUUUGGAUACAUUCAACAUUAUUCUUUUGUCUUAAAAAUAUAUCAAUAUUGAUAUAUACAAGAAUAAAAAAUUACUACUUUAUCAAUAUUGAUCUUUUUAAUGGUAAAGAAGAAACUUCUUAUUAUAAUUAUAAUUUUUUGAUUUUAAACAAGCGUUGAAAUUGGUUGUCAAUGUUCCUAGGUUUUUUGUGUUUCUUAUUUAAACAACUGUUAAAAAAAACCGUUAGACUGGGUUAUCGAUAUAUUUUUCAUACACAAAACAAAAGAGUAAAAGAGUAAUUACAUGUUAUCGUAAGCUUUGAGUCCAAAAACAGGGAAGCUCUGAAAGCCACAAUGAUCCCCAGAGGUGAAGAACCAUUGAAAGAAACUCCAUAAGAAGCUGAUAGAGAAGAAUCUCCCUAAUUCCCUCACUUGUUGCCUAUCAUCAAGAAAUUUUU